GAUGAACGCUGGCGGCGUGCCUAAUACAUGCAAGUAGAACGCUGAAGGAGGAGCUUGCUCUUCUGGAUGAGUUGCGGACGGGUGAGUAACGCGUAGGUAACCUGCCUGGUAGCGGGGGAUAACUAUUGGAAACGAUAGCUAAUACCGCAUGACAACAGUUAUUGCAUGAUAACUGUUUAAAAGGGGCAACUGCUCCACUACCAGAUGGACCUGCGUUGUAUUAGCUAGUUGGUGAGGUAACGGCUCACCAAGGCGACGAUACAUAGCCGACCUGAGAGGGUGAUCGGCCACACUGGGACUGAGACACGGCCCAGACGCCUACGGGAGGCAGCAGUAGGGAAUCUGCGGCAAUGGACGGAAGUCUGACCGAGCAACGCCGCGUGAGUGAAGAAGGUUUUCGGAUCGUAAAGCUCGGUUGUAAGAGAAGAACGAGUGUGAGAGUGGAAAGUUCACACUGUGACGGUAUCUUACCAGAAAGGGACGGCUAACUACGUG
rnacentral:rRNA from 1 species